rnacentral:rRNA from 1 species
UACGUAGGGCGCAAGCGUUAUCCGGAAUUAUUGGGCGUAAAGAGCUCGUAGGCGGUUUGUCGCGUCUGCCGUGAAAGUCCGGGGCUCAACUCCGGAUCUGCGGUGGGUACGGGCAGACUAGAGUGAUGUAGGGGAGACUAGAAUUCCUGGUGUAGCGGUGAAAUGCGCAGAUAUCAGGAGGAACACCGAUGGCGAAGGCAGGUCUCUGGGCCAUACUGACGCUGAGGAGCGAAAGCGUGGGGAGCGAACAGG